AUUGAACGCUGGCGGCAGGCCUAACACAUGCAAGUCGAACGGUAACAGGGAUCAGCUUGCUGAUUCGCUGACGAGUGGCGGACGGGUGAGUAAUGUCUGGGAAACUGCCUGAUGGAGGGGGAUAACUACUGGAAACGGUAGCUAAUACCGCAUAACGUCGCAAGACCAAAGAGGGGGACCUUCGGGCCUCUUGCCAUCGGAUGUGCCCAGAUGGGAUUAGCUAGUAGGUGGGGUAACGGCUCACCUAGGCGACGAUCCCUAGCUGGUCUGAGAGGAUGACCAGCCACACUGGAACUGAGACACGGUCCAGACUCCUACGGGAGGCAGCAGUGGGGAAUAUUGCACAAUGGGCGAAAGCCUGAUGCAGCCAUGCCGCGUGUAUGAAGAAGGCCUUCGGGUUGUAAAGUACUUUCAGCGGGGAGGAAGGGAGUAAAGUUAAUACCUUUGCUCAUUGACGUUACCCGCAGAAGAAGCACCGGCUAACUCCGUG
rnacentral:rRNA from 1 species